GAUGAACGCUGGCGGCGUGCCUAAUACAUGCAAGUCGAGCGAACGGACGAGAAGCUUGCUUCUCUGAUGUUAGCGGCGGACGGGUGAGUAACACGUGGAUAACCUACCUAUAAGAUUGGGAUAACUUCGGGAAACCGUAGCUAAUACCGGAUAAUAUUUUGAACCGCAUGGUUCAAAAGUGAAAGACGGUCUUGCUGUCACUUAUAGAUGGAUCCGCGCUGCAUUAGCUAGUUGGUAAGGUAACGGCUUACCAAGGCAACGAUGCAUAGCCGACCUGAGAGGGUGAUCGGCCACACUGGAACUGAGACACGGUCCAGACUCCUACGGGAGGCAGCAGUAGGGAAUCUUCCGCAAUGGGCGAAAGCCUGACGGAGCAACGCCGCGUGAGUGAUGAAGGUCUUCGGAUCGUAAAACUCUGUUAUUAGGGAAGAACAUAUGUGUAAGUAACUAUGCACAUCUUGACGGUACCUAAUCAGAAAGCCACGGCUAACUACGUG
rnacentral:rRNA from 1 species